CACGUAGGGGGCAAGCGUUGUCCGGAAUCAUUGGGCGUAAAGAGCUCGUAGGCGGCUUGUCACGUCGGGUGUGAAAGCCCGGGGCUUAACCCCGGGUCUGCAUUCGAUACGGGCUAGCUAGAGUGUGGUAGGGGAGAUCGGAAUUCCUGGUGUAGCGGUGAAAUGCGCAGAUAUCAGGAGGAACACCGGUGGCGAAGGCGGAUCUCUGGGCCAUUACUGACGCUGAGGAGCGAAAGCGUGGGGAGCGAACAGG
rnacentral:rRNA from 1 species